CCUACGGGGCGCACCAGUGGAGAAUAUUGCACAAUGGGCGCAAGCCUGAUGCAGCCAUGCCGCGUGUAUGAAGAAGGCCUUCGGGUUGUAAAGUACUUUCAGCGGGGAGGAAGGGAGUGAGGUUAAUAACCUUAUUCAUUGACGUUACCCGCAGAAGAAGCACCGGCUAACUCCGUGCCAGCAGCCGCGGUAAUACGGAGGGUGCAAGCGUUAAUCGGAAUUACUGGGCGUAAAGCGCACGCAGGCGGUCUGAUAAGUCGGAUGUGAAAUCCCCGGGCUCAACCUGGGAACUGCAUUCGAAACUGGCAGGCUGGAGUCUUGUAGAGGGGGGUAGAAUUCCAGGUGUAGCGGUGAAAUGCGUAGAGAUCUGGAGGAAUACCGGUGGCGAAGGCGGCCCCCUGGACAAAGACUGACGCUCAGGUGCGAAAGCGUGGGGAGCAAACAGGAUUAGAUACCCGCGUAGUC
rnacentral:rRNA from 1 species